UACGUAGGGUGCGAGCGUUAAUCGGAAUUACUGGGCGUAAAGGGUGCGCAGGCGGCGUCGCAAGUCAGGCGUGAAAUCCCCGGGCUUAACCUGGGAACUGCACUUGAAACUACGAUGCUGGAGUAUGGCAGAGGGAGGUGGAAUUCCACGUGUAGCGGUGAAAUGCGUAGAGAUCGGGAAGAACAUCGGUGGCGAAAGCGCUCUACUGGACGGUAUCUGACACUGAGGGACGAAAGCUAGGGGAGCGAAUGGG
rnacentral:rRNA from 1 species